GAUUUGGGAGGCGGGAAAACUUAGUGAUGUCGUCUCGGCACCAGCCAAUCGUAGACCUCUGGAUCCUCUGGACUGAACCAUCUGCACCUGGACAGGGAGGACGGAUUAUCAGGUUCCUGCUAAAACAUGUUUACUGCUGAUCACAAUCCACCAGGUGAGCUAGCAUACCUGUGCAGGGUCUCCAGCUGUGGCCUCGGAUGGUGGUGGCGAGUAGUAGACAGGUGAGCAGCAGCGAGCGACAUGCCGACAUCACGCUAGCGUACCGUGGACAGCGCAGGUUGGACUCCUGCUCAUCGUCCUGAUGGCCUGACGACACAAAGACGAGAUCAGCUGACCCUCAGAGUCUGGGAUGGAACAAGAACCUCAGCAACACACCCAUAGACCCACCUGUAGACCUGUAGAUCCACCUGUGGACUCACCUGAACUGAACACACCAGUGAAGCUGUCUUCCUAAAGCUGAAGAACCUGAAGGUCUACAGAGGUUCCCAGGUCUGCAGAAUCUGGAGUUUCGUUUCUGAGCUUCAUCAGGUGAAUAAACUCAAACCAAACCUGCUUCAGUCGCUGAGGAGGUGCUGCUGAGUUCUCGUCGGUUCUCUGGACAUCUUUGGAGACGUUCUCCAGAAGUUCUUCUUGCUGUGGCCAAACUUGUAAAAUCCUCCGGGAACAAACUGAUGAAAAACAUCCAAGAAUCCAGUUCCGGUUCCACCGUUCUGAUGUCUGUUCUCUUCUUCUGGGAUGUUCAUCUAGAGAAGAUCUAAGUUCUCUGGGUCCCCUCUAAAGUCCAGAUAAAAACAUCUUUAGGUUCCGUCUCCAGGUUCCUGUCCAGCCUGAUGCUGCCUCCAGAUAAAACACGCUGAGAUGAAACAGAAGAAGUGAAUGAUCUCAGUCUGAAUCUGCAGCAGACAGGAAUUCCCCAGGUGAGGCAAAG